rnacentral:rRNA from 1 species
UGAGGAAUAUUGGUCAAUGGGCGAGAGCCUGAACCAGCCAAGUAGCGUGCAGGAUGACGGCCCUAUGGGUUGUAAACUGCUUUUAUGUGGGGAUAAAGUGCGUGACGUGUCAUGCAUUGCAGGUACCACAUGAAUAAGGACCGGCUAAUUCCGUGCCAGCAGCCGCGGUAAUACGGAAGGUCCGGGCGUUAUCCGGAUUUAUUGGGUUUAAAGGGAGCGUAGGCUGUCUAUUAAGCGUGCUGUGAAAUUUACCGGCUCAACCGGUGGCUUGCAGCGCGAACUGGUCGACUUGAGUAUGCAGGAAGUAGGCGGAAUUCAUGGUGUAGCGGUGAAAUGCUUAGAUAUCAUGACGAACUCCGAUUGCGCAGGCAGCUUACUGUAGCAUAACUGACGCUGAUGCUCGAAAGUGCGGGUAUCAAACAGG